GACAGAGGGUGCAAACGUUGUUCGGAAUUACUGGGCGUAAAGCGCGUGUAGGCUGCUUGGCAAGUCGGAUGUGAAAGCCCUGGGCUCAACCUAGGAAGUGCAUUCGAAACUGCUGAGCUUGAGUUCUGGAGAGGAAGGCGGAAUUCUCGGUGUAGAGGUGAAAUUCGUAGAUAUCGGGAAGAACAUCGGUGGCGAAGGCGGCCUUCUGGACAGCAACUGACGCUGAGACGCGAAAGCGUGGGGAGCAAACAGG
rnacentral:rRNA from 1 species